rnacentral:rRNA from 1 species
GACGAACGCUGGCGGCGUGCUUAACACAUGCAAGUCGAACGGAAAGGCCCUGCUUUUGUGGGGUGCUCGAGUGGCGAACGGGUGAGUAACACGUGAGUAACCUGCCCUUGACUUUGGGAUAACUUCAGGAAACUGGGGCUAUUACCGGAUAGGAGCUCCUGCUGCAUGGUGGGGGUUGGAAAGUUUCGGCGGUUGGGGAUGGACUCGCGGCUUAUCAGCUUGAUGGUGGGGUAGUGGCUUACCAAGGCUUUGAGGGGUAGCCGGCCUGGGAGGGUGACCGGCCACAUUGGGACUGAGAUACGGCCCAGACUCCUACGGGACGCAGCGGUGGGGAAUAUUGCACAAUGGGCGGAAGCCUGAUGCAGCAACGCCGCGUGCGGGAUGACGGCCUUCGGGUUGUAAACCGCUUUCGCCUGUGACGAAGCGUGAGUGACGGUAAUGGGUAAAGAAGCACCGGCUAACUACGUG